CACCCACCAUGCCACUUUCUUUUGCACUUCACAUUCUCUUUGAAUAUCCCAUUGGUGCAGUACAAGAGGAAAAAAGAGAAAAAUAAGUAGGAGAAGAAAAAGGUCUAUUAACUAAGAAGCUAGUGCCCUGUGCUUCUGAUGAGGAACUGGCUUAUGUCUCCGGCGAAGAUCCUCCACGAGUUGGCGAGUCUCGUGCCUGCCAGAAGCACUG
rnacentral:misc_RNA from 1 species